AUGCACGGGUUUCUAGCUGGUCUUUCCAAUAUGCCAACCUUCUCAUUUACCUGUAAAAAUCUCCAGUCAGCUAUCAAAGAUCCCCAGGCCGUAGACGAUCUUAUGGAUAAAGAAUUAGAGAAGGGGUACAUGAUCGGACCUUUUGAUCAACCUCCUUUCAAAUUGUUUCGCAUUAACCCUUUAGGAGUCGCAGUCAGGAAAUAUGCGGGGAAAAAAUGCUUAAUUAUUGAUUUAUCCGCUCCCCACUCCACAGUAGGGGUUCCUAGCAUUAACAGUUUAAUUCCCUCUGAACCUUUUUCCCUGGCUUAUUCUACAGUGGACAACGCAAUUAAACUCAUUAAAUUAGCCGGCAGAGGAGUGUGGCUCAGCAAAGCAGAUAUCACCGACGCCUUCAAAAUAAUGCCCCUACAUCCCUCUCAGUGGCACCUUUUCGGGGUCAGGUGGCGAGAAAAAAUUUAUUUUUCAGUCAGACUCACCUUCGGGUGUAAAAGCAGUCCAAAGAUAUUUGAUACACUAUCGGAAGCACUUUACUGGAUCCUACUAAAUAAUUUCAAAUUACCAUUCGUUCUUCACCUGCUGGAUGACUUCCUGCUUAUAGACUUUCCAGAUGCCAACCCAUCGCGCAGCAUCAAUUCCCUGGUCAAAGCAUUCAACAAAUUCGGCAUUCCUCUCGCAGAGAAAAAAACAAAAGGCCCUUUUCGCGUACUCGAUUUCCUGGGCAUCACGCUAGAUUCAGUGAAAAUGCAAGCGUCUCUUCCGCUAGACAAACUAGAAAGGAUUAGAGGGUUCAUUAGAACCUAUUCCUGUUCACCUACCCUAACAAAAAGGGAUCUUCUUUCCCUGUUGGGCCAUCUCAAUUUUGCCAUGAGGAUUAUUCCCCAAGGUCAUUCCUUCAUUUCCAGACUUCUAGACCUGUCUAAAACCGUAGAGAGUAUGCAUGACACAGUUACGUUAGACGAAGGAUGCAGGUCCGAUUUAAAAUUCUGGUCAAAAUUAUGCGACAAUUGGAACAGUAUUUCCUUCUUCUACAAAGAAGAUAUCGAAUCCUCAGUUAAACUGCAGUUCUUCACCGACGCAGCUCCUUCCGUCGGGUUCGGGGGAAUUUUUAAUAAUCAAUGGUUCGCAGAAAGAUGGCCAAAAGAACUUAAGGAACUGGCUCCCUCUAUACAGUCGACAGCGCUUUUGGAAAUAUAUCCUAUAGUGAUUGCUUGCUUAUUAUGGGCAGAUCAAUGGUCUAGGAAAAACAUCCUCGUGUUUUGCGACAACGAAGCUGCAGUCAACAUCAUUAACAAGGGUCCCUCAUCCGUGCCUUUCAUUAACCGCUUUAUUAGGCGUUUAACCUGGAUCUCAAUCAUGAACAAUUUUACUAUUAAAGCUGCUCAUAUACCUGGGCUGGAUAAUAAAAUAGCUGACUCUCUGUCUCGGUUUAAUUUCCAGGAAUUCAGACGCCUGUGUCCGGGAGCUGCUCCUUCACGGCUGGGCUGCCCGAACUUCAGUCAAACAAUCCUAGAAUGA
ensembl:lncRNA